rnacentral:rRNA from 1 species
GACGAACGCUGGCGGCGUGCUUAACACAUGCAAGUCGAACGGAAAGGCCCUGCUUUUGUGGGGUGCUCGAGUGGCGAACGGGUGAGUAACACGUGAGUAACCUGCCCUUGACUUUGGGAUAACUUCAGGAAACUGGGGCUAAUACCGGAUAGGAGCUCCUGCUGCGUGGUGGGGGUUGGAAAGUUUCGGCGGUUGGGGAUGGACUCGCGGCUUAUCAGCUUGUUGGUGGGGUAGUGGCUUACCAAGGCUUUGGCGGGUAGCCGGCCUGAGAGGGUGACCGGCGACAUUGGGACUGAGAGACGGCCCAGACGCCUACGGGAGGCAGCAGUGGGGAAUAUUGCACAAUGGGCGGAAGCCUGAUGCAGCAACGCCGCGUGCGGGAUGACGGCCUUCGGGUUGUAAACCGCUUUCGCCUGUGACGAAGCGUGAGUGACGGUAACGGGUAAAGAAGCACCGGCUAACUACGUG